GGACUACCAGGGUUUCUAAUCCUGUUUGCUCCCCUAGCUUUCGUGCCUCAGUGUCAGGAGUUGUCCAGGGACUCGCCUUCGCCACUGGUGUUCCUCUCGAUAUCUACGCAUUUCACUGCUACACCGAGAAUUCCAGUCCCCCCUCCAACCCUCGAGCAAGGUAGUUUCCAAUGCAGUUUCGGAGUUGAGCUCCGAGAUUUCACAUCCGACUUACCUCGCCACCUACGCACCCUUUACGCCCAGUGAAUCCGAACAACGCUUGGGACCUCUGUAUUACCGCGGCUGCUGGCAC
rnacentral:rRNA from 1 species